AGAGUUUGAUCCUGGCUCAGGACGAUUUCUGGCGGCGCGCCUAACACAUGCAAGUCGAACGAGCGAGAGAGAGCUUGCUUUCUCGAGCGAGUGGCGAACGGGUGAGUAACGCGUGAGGAACCUGCCUCAAAGAGGGGGACAACAGUUGGAAACGACUGCUAAUACCGCAUAAGCCCACGGCUCGGCAUCGAGCAGAGGGAAAAGGAGCAAUCCGCUUUGAGAUGGCCUCGCGUCCGAUUAGCUAGUUGGUGAGGUAAUGGCCCACCAAGGCAACGAUCGGUAGCCGGACUGAGAGGUUGAACGGCCACAUUGGGACUGAGACACGGCCCAGACUCCUACGGGAGGCAGCAGUGGGGAAUAUUGCACAAUGGGGGAAACCCUGAUGCAGCGACGCCGCGUGGAGGAAGAAGGUCUUCGGAUUGUAAACUCCUGUUGUUGGGGAAGAUAAUGACGGUACCCAACAAGGAAGUGACGGCUAACUACGUGCCAGCAGCCGCGGUAAAACGUAGGUCACAAGCGUUGUCCGGAAUUACUGGGUGUAAAGGGAGCGCAGGCGGGAAGACAAGUUGGAAGUGAAAUCUAUGGGCUCAACCCAUAAACUGCUUUCAAAACUGUUUUUCUUGAGUAGUGCAGAGGUAGGCGGAAUUCCCGGUGUAGCGGUGGAAUGCGUAGAUAUCGGGAGGAACACCAGUGGCGAAGGCGGCCUACUGGGCACCAACUGACGCUGAGGCUCGAAAGUGUGGGUAGCAAACAGGAUUAGAUACCCUGGUAGUCCACACCGUAAAC
rnacentral:rRNA from 1 species